rnacentral:rRNA from 1 species
ACGUGGUAUCCUGUCUGAAUAUGGGGGGACCAUCCUCCAAGGCUAAAUACUCCUGACUGACCGAUAGUGAACCAGUACCGUGAGGGAAAGGCGAAAAGAACCCCGGCGAGGGGAGUGAAAAAGAACCUGAAACCGUGUACGUACAAGCAGUGGGAGCACAGAGCAAUCUGUGUGACUGCGUACCUUUUGUAUAAUGGGUCAGCGACUUAUAUUCUGUAGCAAGGUUAACCGAAUAGGGGAGCCGAAGGGAAACCGAGUCUUAACUGGGCGUUAAGUUGCAGGGUAUAGACCCGAAACCCGGUGAUCUAGCCAUGGGCAGGUUGAAGGUUGGGUAACACUAACUGGAGGACCGAACCGACUAAUGUUGAAAAAUUAGCGGAUGACUUGUGGCUGGGGGUGAAAGGCCAAUCAAACCGGGAGAUAGCUGGUUCUCCCCGAAAGCUAUUUAGGUAGCGCCUCGUGAAUUCAUCUCCGGGGGUAGAGCACUGUUUCGGCAAGGGGGUCAUCCCGACUUACCAACCCGAUGCAAACUGCGAAUACCGGAGAAUGUUAUCACGGGAGACACACGGCGGGUGCUAACGUCCGUCGUGAAGAGGGAAACAACCCAGACCGCCAGCUAAGGUCCCAAAGUCAUGGUUAAGUGGGAAACGAUGUGGGAAGGCCCAGACAGCCAGGAUGUUGGCUUAGAAGCAGCCAUCAUUUAAAGAAAGCGUAAUAGCUCACUGGUCGAGUCGGCCUGCGCGGAAGAUGUAACGGGGCUAAACCAUGCACCGAAGCUGCGGCAGCGACGCUUAUGCGUUGUUGGGUAGGGGAGCGUUCUGUAAGCCUGUGAAGGUGUGCUGUGAGGCAUGCUGGAGGUAUCAGAAGUGCGAAUGCUGACAUAAGUAACGAUAAAGCGGGUGAAAAGCCCGCUCGCCGGAAGACCAAGGGUUCCUGUCCAACGUUAAUCGGGGCAGGGUGAGUCGACCCCUAAGGCGAGGCCGAAAGGCGUAGUCGAUGGGAAACAGGUUAAUAUUCCUGUACUUGGUGUUACUGCGAAGGGGGGACGGAGAAGGCUAUGUUGGCCGGGCGACGGUUGUCCCGGUUUAAGCGUGUAGGCUGGUUUUCCAGGCAAAUCCGGAAAAUCAAGGCUGAGGCGUGAUGACGAGGCACUACGGUGCUGAAGCAACAAAUGCCCUGCUUCCAGGAAAAGCCUCUAAGCAUCAGGUAACAUCAAAUCGUACCCCAAACCGACACAGGUGGUCAGGUAGAGAAUACCAAGGCGCUUGAGAGAACUCGGGUGAAGGAACUAGGCAAAAUGGUGCCGUAACUUCGGGAGAAGG